AUUGAACGCUGGCGGCAGGCCUAACACAUGCAAGUCGAGCGGCAGCGGGAAAGUAGCUUGCUACUUUUGCCGGCGAGCGGCGGACGGGUGAGUAAUGCCUGGGAAAUUGCCCAGUCGAGGGGGAUAACAGUUGGAAACGACUGCUAAUACCGCAUACGCCCUACGGGGGAAAGCAGGGGACCUUCGGGCCUUGCGCGAUUGGUUAUGCCCAGGUGGGAUUAGCUAGUUGGUGAGGUAAUGGCUCACCAAGGCGACGAUCUCUAGCUGGUCUGAGAGGAUGGUCAGCCACGGUGGGACGGAGACACGGUCCAGACUCCUACGGGAGGCUGCAGGGGGGAAUAUUGCACAAGGGGGGAGACCCUGAUGCAGCCAUGCCGCGUGUGUGAAGAAGGCCUUCGGGUUGUAAAGCACUUUCAGCGAGGAGGAAAGGUUGAUGCCUAAUACGUAUCAACUGUGACGUUACUCGCAGAAGAAGCACCGGCUAACUCCGUGCCAGCCGCCGCGGUAAGAC
rnacentral:rRNA from 1 species